GACGAACGCUGGCGGCGUGCUUAACACAUGCAAGUCGAACGGAAAGGCCCUGCUUUUGUGGGGUGCUCGAGUGGCGAACGGGUGAGUAACACGUGAGUAACCUGCCCUUGUCUUUGGGAUAACUUCAGGAAACUGGGGCUAAUACCGGAUAGGAUCUCCUGCUGCAUGGUGGGGGUUGGAAAGUUUCGGCUGUUGGGGAUGGACUCGCGGCUUAUCAGCUUGUUUGUGAGGUAGUGGCUUACCAAGGCUUUGACGGGUAGCCGGCCUGAGAGCGUGACCGGCCACAUUGCGCCUGAGAUAGGGACCAGACUCCUACGGGAGGCAGCAGUGGGGAAUAUUGCACAAUGGGCGGAAGCCUGAUGCAGCAACGCCGCGUGCGGGAUGACGUCCUUCGGGUUGUAAACCGCUUUCGCCUGUGACGAAGCGUGAGUGACGGUAAUGGGUAAAGAAGCACCGGCUAACUACGUG
rnacentral:rRNA from 1 species